AGUGAACGCUGGCGGUAGGCCUAACACAUGCAAGUCGAACGGCAGCACAGUAAGAGCUUGCUCUUACGGGUGGCGAGUGGCGGACGGGUGAGGAAUACAUCGGAAUCUCCUUUUUCGUGGGGGAUAACGUAGGGAAACUUACGCUAAUACCGCAUACGACCUACGGGUGAAAGCAGGUGAUCUUCGGACCUUGCGCGAUUGAAUGAGCCGAUGUCGGAUUAGCUAGUUGGCGGGGUACAGGCCCACCAAGGCGACGAUCCGUAGCUGGUCUGAGAGGAUGAUCAGCAACACUGGAACUGAGACACGGUCCAGACUCCUACGGGAGGCAGAAGUGGGGAAUAUUGGAAAAGGGGCGCAAGCGUGAGCCAGCAAUACCGCGUGGGUGAAGAAGGCCUUCGGGUUGUAAAGCCCUUUUGUUGGGAAAGAAAAGCAGAAGGUUAAUACCCCGCUGUUCUGACGGUACCAAAAGAAUAAGCACCGGCUAACUUCGUG
rnacentral:rRNA from 1 species